rnacentral:rRNA from 1 species
GACGAACGCUGGCGGCGUGCUUAACACAUGCAAGUCGAACGGAAAGGCCUGCUUUCCCUUGUGGGUUGCGGGUACUCGAGUGGCGAACGGGUGAGUAACACGUGAGUGAUCUGCCCCCAACUUGGGUAUAAGCCUGGGAAACUGGGUCUAAUUCCCGAUAGGACUGCAGGGUGGUGCCUGUGGUGGAAAACGAUUUUCUAGUGGUUGGGGAUGAGCUCGCGGCCUAUCAGCUUGUUGGUGGGGUAAUGGCCUACCAAGGCGGCGACGGGUAGCCGGCCUGGGAGGGUGGACGGCGACAUUGGGACUGAGAUACGGCCCAGACUCCUACGGGAGGCAGCAGUGGGGAAUAUUGCACAAUGGGCGGAAGCCUGAUGCAGCGACGCCGCGUGGGGGAUGACGGCCUUCGGGUUGUAAACUCCUUUCGACCGCGAGGAAGCCACCUGGUUGGAAGGGUGGUGACGGUAGUGGUAGAAGAAGCACCGGCUAACUACGUG